rnacentral:rRNA from 1 species
UACGGAGGAUGCAAGCGUUAUCCGGAAUGAUUGGGCGUAAAGCAUCCGCAGGUGGCUAUGUAAGUCUGCUGUUAAAGAGUGAGGCUCAACCUCAUAAAGGCAGUGGAAACUACAUGGCUAGAGUGCGUUCGGGGCAGAGGGAAUUCCUGGUGUAGCGGUGAAAUGCGUAGAGAUCAGGAAGAACACCGGUGGCGAAAGCGCUCUGCUAGGCCGCAACUGACACUGAGGGACGAAAGCUAGGGGAGCGAAUGGG